AUCACAUGACUUGCCCCCUGGGACUCUUUUGAACGCAACGGACGUGAUUGCAACCCCUUGUUGAGAUUAGAGAUAGUCUCGAUAUUCACUGGACAAACUGGCUGCUUUAUGCAGUCUUGUUGAAUGGUGGAUAAACUCGGGGGACUGCUGACUAUAACCAUUUCUCAAAACAGAGGAAGGUUGCGGCAAUAACAGGUCUGUGAUGCCCUCAGAUGUCCCGGGCUGCACACGUGCUACAAUGAGUGGCGCAAUGUGCUAAUGUUUAAGGGAUAAGAGUGUGGUCAGUAGAACGUCGGGAUUUCCCCUGACGUCUCCCCCGCACGAUUAUCAGCCUUCCCUUAACAGGGCGGGCAACCUUUUCAAAAUACUGGUUUGAUGUUAAAGUAUUGAGUCGUUUUUUUUGGAUGGUGGUUUGUUAACCAAUACCAUCCGGCAACUGCUCGCGAGUUUGUGGUUCUGGCGACUCAUGGUGGGGACCGACGUUUGUAAUUUUUUGUCGCGUGUUAACUAGGAAUGCCUUGUACUGUCGAUUCACUAAGUUACUGGGAAUACGUCCCUGCCCUUUGUACACACCGCCCGUCGCUCUUACCGAUGGCUGUGUGUGUGAGUAAGAGCGACUGUUAAGAGGGAA
rnacentral:rRNA from 1 species